rnacentral:misc_RNA from 1 species
GAUUGUAUUUGCUACAUUGUAUCAUGCAGCACAUUUCUGGCACUAUAAUUUUGGAGAAAGAAAAAAAAGCACUAAUGAGAUCUGAACAGAUCCUCAACAGGCUGAAAACAAAUACAAAACACGAUGUAUUUACUAAGAAGCUAACAGCUGUGAAAUAGGUAGUGUGACCAGCAUCUUUACUACUACUAUUGACAUAGAAACUGACGAUAUUCCUGAAAAACAGAUGGGCUUUGUAUCACUCAGGGGAGGAAGCUACACCCUAAAGGCCUUUCUAAUACUGCUCCAUAUAGAAAAUCCCCUAGAGGAGGCUUUUAGAAGGAGGAAGUGAGAAUAAACUAUGGCAAUAGAUCCCCUGCAAUACAGUUCUAGAAGACUUAAAAAAAUCCAUUUGUAUGACCUAGCCUAUAGUAAAGCCAUGCUAGAGAAUAUGGUGUAGCACAAUCUAAUUUCAAUGAAUUCUUGUAAAAGCAUGGAUGUCCUCUAUAAACCCUCUUGAUGAUGAAAACAGCGUUAUAUAUGAAGAUAAGCAAAAGACUUCUAUGCUGCUGGAGCAGUAUCUUGAAGUUGUCAAUUACAGAGAUCUUAAAGUCAGGCUUUGUCAUGGAGAUGAACUUGGGUAAAGAAAAGAAGAGUGCUAUUCUCAAAGUCCUGUCACUUCCAGAUAAAGUAAAAAAAAGGAAAAGCCAGAGAUGAGGGCCAGGUGAUUAAGAGCCAAAAUACUCUGAAGUCAAAAGUAUCCAAGUCUACUGAAGUUGUGAACUAGCUCCAUCAGGAGAGGCCAUUCUGCUCCAGCAUGGAAGCUGUUAACCUGAGUUUGAAAUCCAAAGUCCAGAACCCUCUCAGUGAUGGGAAAAGAAAGCCAGAUACCAUUAUUGAGUGCUAUGGCUUCCCUGAGAAAUGCCUUUCUUUGCCUCCCCUGUACAACUGCAUUUUUGAAGGGGUCUCUUGUAAUUAUUAAUAUGAAUUUGUUCCAGAAAAAGUCCCAGGAUGACAUCUGAGAAAAUGUCUUUGAGAGAUAAAGAGUCAUUGCUAGACAGCAGUGUAUCUGGAAAACUCAGAAGAGUACAAAGGGCUCAGAAGAAGAGGCAAUCAAGAACUGAAAAUAUUACUCAGAUAAAGAGGAAAUGAUCAUGAAAGAUGAGGUUGGGGACCAUAAUUAUUAGAGCUUUAAAAACUGUUCAAAGAUUUAAAACACUGUAAAAGUGAGGAAUGUGGAAG